CCUACGGGGGGCAGCAGUGAGGAAUAUUGGUCAAUGGGCGGGAGCCUGAACCAGCCAAGUCGCGUGAAGGAAGAAGGCCCUAGGCGUCGUAAACUUCUUUUGUCGGGGAACAAAGGGCGCCACGCGUGCCGUUUUGAGUGUACCUGAUGAAAAAGAAUCGGCUAACUCCGUGCCAGCAGCCGCGGUAAUACGGAGGAUACGAGCGUUAUCCGGGUUUAUUGGGUUUAAAGGGUGCGUAGGUGGGUUGGUAAGUCAGGUGUGAAAGUCUGGGGCUCAACCGCAGAAUAGCAGUUGAAACUGGCAGUCUAGAGUACAGUAGAGGUACGCGGAAUGCGCGGUGUAGCGGUGAAAUGCAUAGAUAUCACGAAGAACUCCGAUUGCGAAGGCAGCUUAC
rnacentral:rRNA from 1 species